rnacentral:rRNA from 1 species
GAUGAACGCUGGCGGCGUGCCUAAUACAUGCAAGUCGAGCGAACAGACGAGGAGCUUGCUCCUCUGACGUUAGCGGCGGACGGGUGAGUAACACGUGGAUAACCUACCUAUAAGACUGGGAUAACUUCGGGAAACCGGAGCUAAUACCGGAUAAUAUAUUGAACCGCAUGGUUCAAUAGUGAAAGACGGUUUUGCUGUCACUUAUAGAUGGAUCCGCGCCGCAUUAGCUAGUUGGUAAGGUAACGGCUUACCAAGGCAACGAUGCGUAGCCGACCUGAGAGGGGGAUCGGCCACACUGGAACUGAGACACGGUCCAGACUCCUACGGGAGGCAGCAGUAGGGAAUCUUACGCAGUGGGCGAAAGCCUGACGGAGCAACGCCGCGUGAGUGAUGAAGGUCUUCGGAUCGUAAAACUCUGUUAUUAGGGAAGAACAAAUGUGUAAGUAACUAUGCACGUCUUGACGGUACCUGAUCAGAAAGCCACGGCUAACUACGUG